UGCGUAGGCGGUCUUUUAAGUCAGGAGUGAAAGGCUACGGCUCAACCGUAGUAAGCUCUUGAAACUGGAGGACUUGAGUGCAGGAGAGGAGAGUGGAAUUCCUAGUGUAGCGGUGAAAUGCGUAGAUAUUAGGAGGAACACCAGUAGCGAAGGCGGCUCUCUGGACUGUAACUGACACUGAGGCACGAAAGCGUGGGGAGCAAACA
rnacentral:rRNA from 1 species